CUGUAGAAUAAUGACUGCUAGAUAAUUAUUAAGUUCCCAUCUAAUUUUUAGUCAUUCUCCAAAUCCAAAAAGAUGCAAUCACUGCCUAUAAAGGACAAAGCGAUCAGAGCUUGGAAGCCCCUGAAAAUAGAGACUAACAUGGAGAAACAGAAGCAUUGGGAAGCAUGAUAAGGUCGCUGAGGAGACAGAAGGAAGGCUGUGAUCUCUAAGGCUGAGAAAAGUACCAAGAGGACAUCAGGCUCUUAGUGACAUCGCAAGUCAACAAGUACAGAUCUGGGGAAAGCCGGAGGCAUUUACUGUUCGUAGUAACUGUUACGAGAGCCGACUUAUUCAGUCACAGAGAUAAGCAGAAAGCUGGAGGAAUGAGCACCGGAAGAUUGAGGAUCAGGGGAGUCCAUGGAGCUUUUUUAGCGGAUGACAGGAAAAGAGAAAGUCAACAAGAUGGAGUUUUCUGAGAGAGGGAGCGCGAACAGAGCAAUGUCUUGGCUACAAAGUGGAGAUGAUGGCGUUUCAGCCGGUGUGACCCAAGAUGACAAAACUGGGUUCACUUCCUUUACUUCCAGGAAUCAUGAUUUAAGAAGCACAUAUAAAAAAACCCAAAGGAUAAAACUCUUGGAGAGCACAGUCCUAGGGGGAAAGAAAACCGGGUCCAAGUAUACAAGGAAGUGGAGAAAAGGGAAGAAAAACGAUGUUUUCAGAUGAGAUUUGAAAGGAGAUGGAGAGUUGAUGAGGCAGAGAAAUACAGGAAGGCUGUUCCAGAUGACAGCAGCGUUGGAAGAAAAUCGUCUCUACAUCGAUGUCUGCCUCCAGAAAGAGAGCCAACCUUAAAGGAGCAGAUACUUCAAAACACCUAAGACACUGCAGUGUGUUUUCCAGCUCAGCAUUCUGUCUUGUGCAUGUUAUUUUCCAAUGCUCGUAGCAUUUUUUUUGUGUGUAUGUAUCUAAAUGGCAAUUUUGUGAAGCAUUUACAGACCCCUUCUCAUGAUAACCUUUAUUUUGUCUACAGUUAUAAUUGAAGGAGAUGCUAAAUUUCAAGUAGAGGCUGUUGAAAAUAAAGAUGCAUUUUUUCCCA